UGCCCAGCAACUCUUAUCCCUACAUCCUCAUGGUACUAGCCGGGGUAUGAGUAACCUUAGGGAAGGUCGGGUAACCAACCCCGGUGGGAGAUAUGGUCGUAUGCUGACAGGAAAGG
rnacentral:ribozyme from 1 species